rnacentral:rRNA from 1 species
GACGAACGCUGGCGGCGUGCCUAAUACAUGCAAGUAGAACGCUGAAGAGAGGAGCUUGCUCUUCUUGGAUGAGUUGCGAACGGGUGAGUAACGCGUAGGCAACCUGCCUUGUAGCGGGGGAUAACUAUUGGAAACGAUAGCUAAUACCGCAUAACAAUGGAUGACACAUGUCAUUUAUUUGAAAGGGGCAAUUGCUCCACUACAAGAUGGACCUGCGUUGUAUUAGCUAGUAGGUGAGGUAAUGGCUCACCUAGGCGACGAUACAUAGCCGACCUGAGAGGGUGAUCGGCCACACUGGGACUGAGACACGGCCCAGACUCCUACGGGAGGCAGCAGUAGGGAAUCUUCGGCAAUGGGGGCAACCCUGACCGAGCAACGCCGCGUGAGUGAAGAAGGUUUUCGGAUCGUAAAGCUCUGUUGUAAGUCAAGAACGGGUGUGAGAGUGGAAAGUUCACACUGUGACGGUAGCUUACCAGAAAGGGACGGCUAACUACGU